GAUGAACGCUGGCGGCGUGCCUAAUACAUGCAAGUCGAGCGAACGUACGAGAACCUUGCUUCUCUGAUGUUAGCGACGAACAGGUGAGUAACAAGUGGAUAACCUACCUAUAAGACUCGGAUAACUUAGGGAAACCUAAGCUAAUAAAGGAUGAUAUUGUAAACCGCAUGCUUAAAAACUGAAAGACGAUCUUGCUGUCACUGAUUGAUCGAUCCGCGCUGCAUUAGCUAGUUGGUAAGGUAACGGCUUACCAAGGCAACGAUGCAUAGCCGACUUGAGAGGUUGAUCGGCCACACUGGAACUGAGACACGGUCCAGACUCCUACGGGAGGCAGCAGUAGGGAAUCUUCCACAAUGGGCGAAAGCCUGAUGGAGCAACGCCGCGUGAGUGAUGAAGGUCUUCGGAUCGUAAAACUCUGUUAUUAGGGAAGAAAAUAUGUGUAAGUAACUGUUCACAUCUUGACGGUACCUAAUCAGAAAGCCACGGCUAACUACGUG
rnacentral:rRNA from 1 species